rnacentral:lncRNA from 1 species
CCUUAAUUGCAAAGCACACGCGCUAUUCUGUGGUUCAUCGUUCAUUUAACAAAUACUUAAUAAGCACCUUAUGAGAAAAGCUGCAGUAGGUCUUGUGGAGAAUGGGAGGAUGACUAGGACCCAAUCCCGUCGUCAUGGAAACCAUUGUGACUCCUGCCACCAGCCACCACCUGUUCCCAUUCCGGAUCUGAAAAUGAAGUCCUAGCACCUUUACAAAACAAUUACACACACAGUUUGACUUGGCUCCUAAAUGUCCCACCAAAUCCAUCAAAAUUAUUAUUUCCUUUUACAUGAAAGGAACAACACAGUAACCCUUUGUCCUUUGCUCUAAGUUGUUUUUCCAGGAAUGGAGAAAGGUUACUCUGAGCAGUUCAUACUCGCCAGUUGUCUGUUAGUGAAUAAUAGCACACAUUUGAGCUACUUCAGGGUCUGUGAGAUGACCCAUUCAACAACAUGGCCUCACAUGCCCUUGUUCUCUUAGGCACUUCAGCAACCCAACCUUAGGGCUACACCUUGGAUCAUGUUGCCAGUCAGUGCUGCUUGACCAGAAUUUUGAAUUCUGGCCACAGCUGCUUCUUGGACUUUUCAUGUCACUCUUUCAUGUUUAUUAAGUUUUGUCUUAAUUUCCAUAAUCUUUGCCAGUUCUUUAACCCCUCUAAAAUUCUCAGUCUCUCACUCCUCUGCUAAGGAAGGGUUUGAAGGCUGCAAAAAAUUGGAAGGAGGCAGAGGGAAGAAUGUUAAUCUAGAAGCUUUUGCAUAGCAAGCAGAAACUUCUAGAUUCAUUAGUAUUUAGAAUGUAUGCUUACCUGGUGCACCUUGUGGGUAACCAUAGAGAUUAUGGAUAGAAUAACGGGAAAGGAGAGAGGGAGAUGAUAGGGGACUACACUCAGAGGUGGUGAGAAAGACAGAAAAGGAGAGAUUUAAAGACGUGUAGAGAACAUCUGGUUUACUUGCCUCACUAGUCAUCGUGGUUGUCACAUUUGGACUGCACAGGAAGCAUUAUAGAGAGAUUAUAGAACCCGGCUGGUUCUUGGAUCCAACUGACUGUGUGUCUGUGUGUCUGGGAUUCCUUUUGGAUCCUGCUAUGCCAAAACUGGAUCAAAACGAACGCCAAGUGCUUACUUUGAAAAAAUAGGCAAAUGGUGGUGGCAAUGGCUCACGCCUGUAAUUCCAGCACUUUGAGAGACC